GGAACAUGAAAUGGCCUGAAUUCACCAAAAAUAUAUCCAUCAAUCAGUAAUGAGUAUCAUCCAAAUAUCCAAUCAAUCUGAUUUUGGGUUCACGACUAGUUACAGUAAUUCCCAGAGUCUAGACUAUUUAACUUGACGUAUGUGCUGCUGCAUGUGAACGGAUGCGAUUCCACAUACUUGUGAGCUUAACGUCUGUUUUAUGUUUACUUCAUGUGUUUUUAGACUUGUUUAGUUGCAUAUGAUAGUUGGCAUCAUAGCAUGUAUAAUGUUUGAUUAUAGUAGCUUAGUUUUUGUUUGUGCAUGGAGAACUUGUUGAGAAGCCAAUGUGUCUGGAUCAGUUUGCAGUCAUUCUAUGAUUUGAAGCUCAGAUUGGAUGAGUAUAGUAAUUUCACAUCUUGAGUUUGAAAUUUAAUUGUGUUAAUUAUAUUCUUAUAAAGAGUUAUCUAUUUGGUAUGACUUAAGGAAAUUUAAUUGAGAAUUCUUGCCAUAUAAUCUUUGGCCAUUUUUUUUUUUCCAGGCAAUUGAUUUAUAAUUUUUUCUUAACCAUCUUUUGUAGGACGUUGAUUGACAGAUUAGGAAAUUCGAUCUGUAAGAUUUUCGGAGCAUCUUCCAUCUAUGGCAGUGCCUAUCAAAUCAAAGUUUGGAUUUUAGAAGUAUCAUCCCCACUUGUAACAAGCAUCAUCAAGAUACUUGGACCGAAUGCCCUAGGAACUUGUACUCCCUGUUCUAUCCAUGAAUAGUUUCUAAAGUUAGACAUUUUUCUCACAGCAGAGAGUGCGAUGAUCUGCACAUGCAAAGUAACCAGAGAAAAUGAAGAAUGGUGGAAUGGUGAUGAAAUGUUUGGAUGAUAUCUUGUAAUUGUAAAAGGAGGGCAUGGAUAUUUUGUUUCAAAUAUUUUGAUAUGUAACCAUGUGCUAAUAUUUGUUAUAUGUUCUGUACUUUAAUUCAUAGAAACUGUUCAAUUAAGGUUUGAUUUAUUUCACUAUAGGCAUUGUCUGCCUGUAAUAUGUUAGUUAAAAACUGAAAUAGGAAGCAAUUUCUUUACAGUA